UGGGGAAUAUUGGACAAUGGGCGCAAGCCUGAUCCAGCCAUGCCGCGUGAGUGAUGAAGGCCCUAGGGUUGUAAAGCUCUUUCACCGGUGAAGAUAAUGACGGUAACCGGUGAAGAAGCCCCGGCUAACUUCGUGCCAGCAGCCGCGGUAAUACGAAGGGGGCUAGCGUUGUUCGGAUUUACUGGGCGUAAAGCGCACGUAGGCGGACUUUUAAGUCAGGGGUGAAAUCCCGGGGCUCAACCCCGGAACUGCCUUUGAUACUGGAAGUCUUGAGUAUGGUAGAGGUGAGUGGAAUUCCGAGUGUAGAGGUGAAAUUCGUAGAUAUUCGGAGGAACACCAGUGGCGAAGGCGGCUCACUGGACCAUUACUGACGCUGAGGUGCGAAAGCGUGGGGAGCAAACAGG
rnacentral:rRNA from 1 species